UGCUUUAUAGCUCAGUCGGCAGAGCAUGAGACUCUUAAUCUCAGGGUCACGGGUUCGAGUUCCGUGUUGGGCAA
rnacentral:tRNA from 1 species